GCCAGAAGUGAUAGCUCACAUCUGUAAUCCCAGCUACUCGGGAGGCUGAGGCAGGAGGAUCAUUUAAGCCCAGGAUGUCGAGGCUGUAGUGAGCCAUGGUGGUACCACUGCCCUCUAGCCUAGCCUGAGUGAUAGAGUGAGACCCUGUCUCUU
ensembl:misc_RNA Metazoa_SRP Metazoan signal recognition particle RNA